GUGGAGACCGGCCGGCGGAUGGUGGCGGACGGCGCCGACCUCCUGGACGUGGGCGGUGAGUCCACGCGGCCGGGUUCAGACCCGGUCCCCGUG
rnacentral:tRNA from 1 species